AAACUCCCCCCCCCCCCCCCCCCCCCCCCCCCCCCCCCCCCCCCCCCCCCCCCCCCCCCCCCCCCCCCCCCCCCCCCCUGGGGAAAAAAAAAAAAAAAAAUUUCUGGGGGUGUUUUGUGGGUUUGAGAGGCCCCAGAGCUGCCCUGACCAUGCAGAGCCCCAGGAAGCGGCGGCCCUGCGGAUGUUCCGUGGGUUUUAUUUUGGGGGCCUGUGACAUCCGGGCUGAGAGAGGAGAAGAGAAAAUUCAGAAAGUUGAGAGGAGAGGGGGGCAGGGGGUGAAAAUCCCUGGGAUUGGGAUGGGGGAUGGGGGCAGAACCGGUCUGGGAUGGUGGGGAGGGAGUGGGAAAUUUGGGAUGGGGAACAGAGUCAAAACCAGCUUGGGAUAAUGGGGAAAUAAUGGAAUUUUUGGGAUGGGGAUGGGGAACAGAGACAAGAACCAGGCUUGGAUAAUGGGGAGAGAGCGGAAAUUUGCAAUGUGGUUGAGGAAUAGACACAGGAUCCUGUCUGGAAUAAUGGGGUGAGAAUGGAAUUUUUGGGAUGGGGAAUCGACACUUGACCAGUCUGGGAUAAUGGGGAGAACAUGGAAAUUUUGGGAUGAGGAUGGAGAACAGAUACAGAGAAACUUUGGGAUAAUGGGGAGAAAAUUGAAAUUUUGGGAUUUGGACGAGGAACAGACACUCAAACAAUUUGGCAUAAUAGGGAAAGAGUGGAAAUUUUAGGAUGGGGACGGGGAAUGGACACAGAACCACUCUGGGAUCAUGGGGAGAGAAUGGAAAUUUUGGGAUGGGGAUGGAGAAUGGACUCUCAACCAGUCUGAGAUAAUGGGGUGAGGGUGGAAAUUUUGGGAUGGGGAUGGGGAACGGCCCCUGUGAGCAGGAGUGGCCUCGGUGGCCGCGGGGUCUCCCCUGGGGUGACAAUCCAGGGAUCCCCGGUUCAGAACUCCAGGAAUGCCGAGACCGGGCUGUGACCGCCGGGGGAUCGCUGUGCCUGGAGCCGGAGGAACCCCCGUGGGAGUGGAAGAAGAUCCACUGGAGAGCAGAAAUGGAUUUGGGAUCGCGGUGGCGGAUCCUGAUGGCCACGAGGGAUGGGCAUGUCUCGUACCCCAAAGGUCCUUUCCACGGCAGAGCCGAGUUCCAGCCGGGGGUUCUCUCCCUGUGCAUCUCCCCGGUGCACAAAGCCGACAGCAGGGUCUACACGGCCGAAUUUGAGAAUUCCUCCGGGAGUUUCCCCAUUUCCCCUCAGUGCUUCCGAGUGUCCGUGUGGGGUGAGUGGCUGGGUCCUUCUGUCCUUCUGUCCCUGUGUCCCCGUGUCCCCUCUCACCCCGGAGCCAUCCCUGAAAUCCCAAAUCCUGCACCAGGACUGGGGCUGGGUCCACCUGUCCCUGUGUCUCUGUGUCCAUCUGUCCCUCUGUCCUCUGUUCCUGUGUCCCUCCUGUCCCCUCUCACUGUCCCUGUCCCCACAGAUCCCAUCCCACAGCCAGAGCUGAAAUCCCAAAUCCUGCAGCGGGACCGGGGUUGGUGCCGCCUGUCCCUGUGUCCCUGUCCCUCUGUCUCCUGUCCCUCUGUCCUUAUUUCCUGUCCCUCUGUCUCCUGUCCCUCUGUCCCCUCUCACCCUGUCCCUGUCCCUGUCCCUGUCCCCACAGAUCCCAUCCCAGAGCCAUCCCUGGAAUCCCAAAUCCUGCAGCGGGACCGGGGUUGGUGCCGCCUGUCCCUGCUCUGCUCCAGCCCCGGGAACGGGAACGUCUCCAUCAGUUGGGAAUGUCCUGAGGAGCCCCCGGAAUCCCCGAAAAUCCCGAAAUCCACAGGAUCCCCAAACUCCACGGGAUCCCCAAAAUCCCCAUCCCAGCGGCUCCAGUGGAUCCCCGAAGAUGCCGAACCCCAAAUUUGUCUCUGCAACCUCAGCAACGCCGCGGGCUGGAAAGCGGCCCCGGCCCCGCUCACCUGCGCAGGAAUUCCAGGGAAUUUCGGGCUCUGGGCAGCGCUGGGCGGGGCCGCGGGGCUGAGCCUGAUCCUGAUCCUGAUCCUCGGGGUCUGCUGGAGGAGGAGGAGGAAGGAGAAUUCCCGGGAAGGUUUGUGGGGAAUGUCGGAGAGGGAGGGAUUUUUGGGGGCUGUGACCCCAAAAUCUGGGAAUCUAAACUCAAAAUUUGAGAAUUUUGGGCCCAAAAUCAGGGAAUUUUGAACCUUGG
rnacentral:lncRNA from 12 species